AUGGGCAUGGACGCCCGUGGUUCCACGCAGCAGCGACGUUUUAAAGCAAAACAGAUUGCAAAGCUUCAAAACUCGUAGGUUUGGUUUUGACAAGGACGUCAAAACCAAACCGUUG
rnacentral:sRNA from 1 species